rnacentral:tRNA from 1 species
GGGGAGAUGGCCGAGCGGUCAAUGGCAACAGACUGUAAAUCUGUCCUCUCACGAGUUCAUAGGUUCAAAUCCUAUUCUCCCCACCA